rnacentral:rRNA from 1 species
UACGUAGGGUGCGAGCGUUAAUCGGAAUUACUGGGCGUAAAGAGUGUGUAGGCGGUGCUCUAAGUUCGGUGUGAAAUCUCCUGGCUUAACUGGGAGGGUGCGCCGGAAACUGGAGUGCUCGAGCGUGGGGGAGGAAAGCGGAAUUCCUGGUGUAGCGGUGAAAUGCGUAGAUAUCAGGAGGAACACCUGUGGUGUAGACGGCUUUCUGGACCAUUGCUGACGCUGAGACACGAAAGCGUGGGUAGCAAACAGG